CAGGACGAACGCUGGCGGCGUGCCUAAUACAUGCAAGUCGAACGGUCUUUCUAUGGAAGCUUGCUUCCACUGAGAAGAUAGUGGCGAACGGGUGAGUAACACGUGGGUAAACCUGCCCAUAAGAGGGGGGAUAACAUCCGGAAACGGGUGCUAAUACCGCAUAGUUUUCUUGAUCGCAUGAUUGAGAAAGGAAAGACGGCCUUUGUGCUGUCGCUUAUGGAUGGACCCGCGGCGUAUUAGUUAGUUGGUGAGGUAACGGCUCACCAAGACGAUGAUACGUAGCCGACCUGAGAGGGUGAUCGGCCACAUUGGGACUGAGACACGGCCCAAACUCCUACGGGAGGCAGCAGUAGGGAAUCUUCCGCAAUGGACGAAAGUCUGACGGAGCAACGCCGCGUGAGUGAAGGAAGGUUUUCGGAUCGUAAAACUCUGUUGUCAGAGAAGAACAAGUUGGAGAGUAACUGCUCCAGCCUUGACGGUAUCUGACCAGAAAGCCACGGCUAACUACGUGCCAGCCGCCGC
rnacentral:rRNA from 1 species